AGCGUUGAAACCCCGGUUCCCGUACGAUCACCGAAGUUAAGCAACGUCGAGCAUGGUCCGUACCUAGAUGUGUGACUUACUAGGAAUACCAUAAACCAGGUGCUGCAA